rnacentral:misc_RNA from 1 species
GAUGAAGAACGCAGUGAAAUGCGAUAAGUAGUGUGAAUUGCAGAAUUCAGUGAAUCAUCGAAUCUUUGAACGCACAUUGCGCCCUUUGGUAUUCCAAAGGGCAUGCCUGUUCGAGCGUCAUUUGUACCCUCAAGCUUUGCUUGGUGUUGGGCGUCUUGUCUCUAGCUUUGCUGGAGACUCGCCUUAAAGUAAUUGGCAGCCGGCCUACUGGUUUCGGAGCGCAGCACAAGUCGCACUCUCUAUCAGCAAAGGUCUAGCAUCCAUUAAGCCUUUUUUUCAACUUUUGACCUCGGAUCAGGUAGGGAUACCCGCUGAACUUAAGCAUAUCAAUAAGCGGAGA